AUGUGCGCAUGCGGCCGCCAUUACUAUGUGUUGAAAUUCGAAUUGACAUACAAUGUAAAAAUGCCUGAGAGUGACAGCCAUCCGUCUAAGUCACGAACCGAAAGAACGAAGGGAACACAGUACAAUGCCAUUAACGGUAACCAAAAGGCGAAGGCAGAGGGUGUUACAUUCCACAUAAAUUUCUAGGUAGUCGGUAAGCACAGAUUUUAAAAGUCACUGAUCAUCAGGCAUCAAGAAAGAAGCUAAUAUGGAAAAGUCAUUGGUGUCAUGCAAAAAAGACUUUGGAAGUUCCUCUAUUCGACUUACUUGCUGUAGUAGCAUCAACAAUGUUAAAGAAAGACCUAUCUUUGGUUGAAAAAUCUAUUAGUGGAGCAUAUAAAGAGAGGAGACUUGGCCAUUAAAAUGAAGGUUCAUAAAGGAAGUAAUUUGGAAGUAUUAAUAUGAUUUGUACAGCACAUUCUCAAGAAUUUGUAGUAAUGAGAGUCAAUGACUUCCGAUGUAUAUUGUAAAGGCCUGACUUAGGUUCAUGUUCCUUACAUGGAGAUUCAUUCAUGAUGGUUGUAAUAAACAUAGGUGCAAAAAGAUCAGUUAAAGACAAAAAUAAGAAACCCUAUAACCUAAGAGCUUUCAAAAGGUAGACCUUUCUUCAUCAGGGGCAAAAGAGAUAAUGUUUAGUUGUUAAACUACUGUAUGUAUCGUGAUGUGAAAGGUUUUUUGUGAAACUGUUUUAAAGUGUAAAUAUGUAAAGUUACUGAUAUUUUAAUGUUGUUGCUUUGUAUA